AUGAACGCUGGCGGCGGUGCCUAAUACAUGCAAGUCGAGCGAACUGAUUAGAAGCUGCUUCUAUGACGUUAGCGGCGGACGGGUGAGUAACACGUGGGGCAACCUGCCUGUAGGACUGGGAUAACUUCGGGAAACCGAAGCUAAUACCGGAUAGGAUCUUCUCCUUCAUGGAGAUGAUUGAAAGAUGGUUUUCGGCUAUCACUUACAGAUGGGGCCCGCGGUGCAUUAGCUAGUUUGGUGAGGUAACGGCUCACCAAGGCAACGAUUGCAUAGACCAGACCUGAGAGGGUGAUCGGCCACACUGGGACUGAGACACGGCCCAGACUCCUACGGGAGGCAGCAGUAGGGAAUCUUCCGCAAUGGACGAAAGUCUGACGGAGCAACGCCGCGUGAGUGAUGAAGGGCUUUCGGGUCGUAAAACUCUGUUGUUAGGGAAGAACAAGUACGAGAGUAACUGCUCGUACCUUGACUGGUACCUAACCAGAAAGCCACGGCUAACUACGUGCCAGCAGCCGCUGGUAAUACGUAGGGUGGCAAGCGUUAUCCGGAAUUAUUGGGCGUAAAGCGCGCGCAGGCGGUUUCUUAAGUCUGAUGUGAAAGCCCACGGCUCAACCGUGGAGGGUCAUUGGAAACUGGGGAUACUUGAGUGCAAGAAGAGAAAAGUCGGAAUUCCACGUGUAGCGGUGAAAUGCGUAGAGAUGUGGAGGAACAACCAGUGGCGAAGGCGGCUUUUUGGUCUGUAACUGACGCUGAGGCGCGAAAUGCGUGGGGAGCAACAGGAUUAGAUACCCUGGUAGUCCACGCCGUAAAACGAUGAGUGCUAAGUGUUAGAGGGUUUCCGCCCUUUAGUGCUGCAGCUAACGCAUUAAGCACCUCCGCCUGGGGAGUACGGUCGCAAGACUGAAACUCAAAGGAAUUGACGGGGGCCCGCACAAGCGGUGGAGCAUGUGGUUUAAUCGAAGCAACGCGAAGAACCUUACCAGGUCUUGACAUCCUCAUGACAACUCUAGAGAUAGAGCGUUCCCCCUUCGGGGGACAGUAGUUGACAGGUUGGUGCAUGGUUGUCGUCAGCUCGUGUCGAUGAGAUGUUGGGUUAAGUCCCGCAACGAGCGCAACCCUCGCCCUCUAGUUGCCAGCAUUUAGUUGGGCACUCUAAUGGUGACUGCCCCGGUGAAACGGGAGGAAGGUGGGGAUGACGUCAAAUUCAUCACUGCCCUUUAUGCCCAGGCUACACACGUUUGCUACAAUGGCCGGUACAAAGGUUCGCAAGACCGCGUAGCGAAGCUAACUCCAAAAUCCAAAGGUCCCAUUUCAGUAUCGGAUAGUCUGCAACUCGACUGACAUUGAACGCUGGAAUCGCUAGUAAUCGCGGAUCAGCAUGUCGCGGUGAAUACGUUCCCGGGUCCUUGUACACACCGCCCGUCACACCACGAAGCCGAUUUGUAACCGUAAGUCGGCUGGAGCUAACCGUAAGGAGCCUAAGUAGCCUAAGUAGUAUGAUUGGUGAUUGGGGUG
rnacentral:rRNA from 1 species